CUUUGGUAUUUGAAUAAUAACUUAAGGUUCCAUUGGUGUUCAAUUUAACUCAAUUUUAUCAAUUAAUUCAUGAACUGUUUCUUUGAAUGAAUCAAUACAUGAUUCUGACGUCAAUAAUGUACAGCUGAUUUGCUACAUUAUAUUAUUUUCUUCAUUUCAUGUCUCAUUGAUUUUUCUGAAUGUCAGUUAAGCAGAACGGUGAAGUAGUUUUUACUUGGUAUGUCAUUUACAUACACCUCCUGCUACAGAAAUAACGUCUAUACAAACAUAACUAGAUACUUGUUAUGAUGAUAAAAUGGUAUAGUUACUAGUACUGUAUAUUUGAGCAAACUGUAAGCAACUAUUAUAGAUUUAUAUGGAGUUAACCGUUUCGGAAGAGUAUUUAACAACAUUCUGCAGAGUUAAUAGUUUGUCAGUUGGUACUGAUGAUUCACUAUGGAUAGGAUCGGGGAAAGUACACAAAGGUUUAUUUGCUAAUUUUUUUGCCACGUCAAAGGCUUUACAGAAAGUGAAAUUGAAGGGGAACAAGAUAAAGGUCACAGAUGGAUUUAACAUUGAAGUGAAGGAAACUGCUAUACAGUCAUUCCCAAAAAAUGGGUACAAUUCGAAUGUAGACACUGUUAAAAAAUAAAUUUCAACUGAGCAGAGAGAGAGUGUUGUUUUCUUC
rnacentral:lncRNA from 1 species